GUCCUUUCGAUAUUCAUGUUACAUCUUGUAUUACAAAAAAAAAUUCCGCCAAAGCUCAGGUGUCCUCUCUUUCCUCCAAUUGACUGCGGAUGGUUGCUACUGCGGACGGAGUAUUGGAUUUUAAGGUUUGGCUUGUAAUGCACAUCCAAACAACUAGAUAAAAUAUCCGGAACAGGAAUCUGCAAUGUUUUAGUUGGGCUUCUUCUACUCUGAUGAUUAUUUAGGUGUGCGCUGUAUUAUGCUCCAGCGCUGCAGUUUUCGUAACUGAGGUAUGUCUUUCAUCUAUCUGUAACUUGCCGUAGUCCUGCCAGUUUGUUCUUUCACCUCUUGCAUAUCUCCUUUCUACUGAAUUCUGAUUAAUAAUUCUCCAAGGACUAUUGCCGGACUCUCUCAUCUGAUUUUCCUGUGUAUUUGCCAUUCCUCUGUCAAGUCUUGUUAGAAGUCCUGUGGUAACCCAUACCUGAGAUUUUGGAGCAGCUGGAGAAAGUAACAAGAAAAAGUUGAUUAAGGACAGUGGCCCACUAUGAAAAGAGCUAUCGCUAGAACACGAAAACUGCUUUUACGAAAAGUCUAUAUUGUUGCAGUGGAUGUCACAAAGUUAAACAGAAACACCCAGGAUCAGGUUAUGUUGGAAUUUAGCCUUUGAAUGCAAGGUUGACACACACAAAACGAGAAAUGGUUCAAUUUUAUGCCUGGUGCUGGCCUGGAGUUCAGCACAUUGAAGCGCUAGAUACACCAUUUUCAGGGCCUUCCAUUGUUCUUCUAUGUACCAAAAACUA